ACACCUCAACUCUCAUGGCUUGCCAUGAUGAGCUUGGACUAUGGGGGUCUUGCUGGCCUGUGGUCAGCUCCUCUCAAAUGAAUCAGCUUGCCAGUGUUUGGUGGCGAUCACAGGUGUGAUAACUAUCUACGCUUGUGGUUUUCCACCAGGUAACCUUCAGCGAUGGAGGUUCGCUGGGGCUCAUAAACGUCUCUCCUCAGUGAAGACAGCUCUUUGAAC
rnacentral:misc_RNA from 1 species